UUCUUCUCUCUCUCCCUCUCCCUCUCCUUCUUACUCUCUCACGCCGUUGAAUGCGAAAAGCACAGCAGAGCUCGGCGGCAGCAACACUGGGCGGCAACAGAUCGCGACCCUCUUUUUGGGUCGCUGCUCUGUUAUCUUCUCUGUCUCUGAUAUUGUCCUUUUGGUUCCUAUUAUUAUGUUAUUUAUUCUUGUUCUUUUGGUUCCUAUUAUUGUCCUUUGGGACCCUAUUCUUGUCCUUUUGGUUCCUAUUAUUAUGUUAUUUAUUCUCCUUAGUAUCCACCUAUAUCUGAUCAGUUGUUCAAAUUGCAUCAUGUGGGCCUCGGUUGAAAGACAUUCGAAUUGGCCUAACCUUAUCAUGGGUAUUCUUUUUGCAGGUAGAUUCUGAUACCCAAAUCCCCCCUUCCCCUCUUCAUCUUCUUUCCCACCCCUUCCCAUUUUAUGUUUGUGGUUCAGAAGCCUUUGGAAUCUUGAUAUGUUUGGAAUCUUGGUAUGUACAUACGGCUAGGUCAUUCGUCUGAAGUAUCUGCAUCCAGAUAGCGAGCUUCAAAACUUUGCUUUGCAGGUUAUGGAAAUGCUUCGUGUAGAUAGUUCUGCCGAUGCACAAGCAUUGGUAAUUUUUUAAAAACAAAUUUGCAACUUGAACUUUAAUUUUCCCCUUAAUUUGAUGAGAUGGUCAUUUGAGUAAAGAUCUGAUCAGCCGUUAGUGUGGGUUUGAAUUAUUUGAUUGAUGAAUUUUUUGUUUUGUAAAUGUCAAUUCAAUAUUGAUUGAAAAUUUUAUUUGUGAAUUUAAAAUCUUCAAUUUUUAUGUUUAUAAAAAUGAAUAUUUUAGUAAACGAAACUUUGGUAACGAUGUAAUAAAAUAAAUUUUGUAGUAUAAUUAAGACCCCUCUUAAAAGAUUUCUGGGUCCCCAGUGCUCGACUGUAGCCCAAACAGAAGGGCUUAAAUCUCGAAACCAAUUCAAGCUAAAGCUAGGUCAAGUAGGUUUUCAGUUGUUAACAAUACUGAUGGUAGACUGGUUCACAAUUUGUGCAAGACAUUGCUCCAUUACACCAAAAGAUAAAUUGCACAAAAACUUGCAUCAAACACGACACAAUUUUUCAAAUGCACAUAUUUAACUGUUUUAUAUUUAAAAACUCCCCCCUUGAAAAAUCAUAAAAAAAGUAUGAUGACCCACUUGAGUGCACAUCUAGCCCACUCAAGUGUACUGCACAUAGUCAUGUAGAGAUCUACAGUGAACCACGUAAAACAGAACCUGGAAGACCACUUGAAGGGAGGAUUGUGAAGUACAGACUCCAAAGACAUCAACCUGAAAGGGCACUCAACAUGCCGCUCUCUAUUGGAAACAAGAACAUUUAUUGAGUAUCCUUAUAUGUUAUUUGACAUUCAUUUCAUGCCCAUAUCUCUCCAUUAAUUUCAUGUAUAGUGCAAUUUUAAUUUAAAAUUUGAUUUACAAUUAUCAAUUAUUAUAGGUUAUCGGUUAAUGCAGAGAGAUAAAAAAGCUGCACUCGUUCGUUGGGGGCAAUUACUACAUCAGAUUGGCAAUGGAUGGAAUAUAGUUCGGCGAGCAUCAAAGGAUUACAUUUUGAAUUUUUGGAUAUAUUUUGUCAUAGGUUUUUGUUAUGAAUUUGCAAGCUUGGAAGAUUUUUUGGAAUUACAUGUUUGAAGUUUUUUUCAUAUGUUUGACAGAUUGGCAAUGGAUGAAAUAUAGUUCGGGGUGCAUCAAAGGAUUACAUUUUGAAUUUUUGGAUGUAUUUUGUCAUGGGUUUUUGUUAUGAAUUUGCAAGCUUAGAAGGUUUUUGGGCAUUGCAUGUUUCAAGUUUGGGAUUGUAAGAUAUUUGUACUUAAAUUGGAUGUUUUGGAUUUGAUAUGUUGUUUAUAUUUAAUAUGGUACUACUUUUGAAUUAAGUUUAUAUAUUGGAUG